CACGUAGGCACCAAGCGUUGUCCGGAUUUAUUGGGCGUAAAGAGCUCGUAGGCGGUUCGGUAAGUCGGGUGUGAAAACUCUGGGCUCAACCCAGAGCCGCCAUCCGAUACUGCUGUGACUAGAGUGCGGUAGGGGAGCGGGGAAUUCCUGGUGUAGCGGCGAAAUGCGCAGAUAUCAGGAGGAACACCAGUGGCGAAGGCGCCGCUCUGGGCCGUGACUGACGCUGAGGAGCGAAGGCGUGGGGAGCAAACAGG
rnacentral:rRNA from 1 species